UUUGAAAAAAAAAAAAAAAAAAAAAAAAAUAAUAAUAAUAAUUUUAAUGUAACAAUUAGAUUUUUAUAUUACCUAUCUCAAUUGUCUUCAACAACGAUCAGAUUAUCACCUGCAUUUGUUUAUACCACUUGGUUUAUACUAUCGAUGUAUCGUUGGUUUAUAUUUAGCGUCCGCAUUGUAAUGGCGGCGAGAUGACGUCACAAGCAAUAUGGUAGCUCCCUUGUUUAGAUCCCAAAUCUAUGUUAGAUCCGUAGAAUUGUCUAUAGGCCUAUGCAUAGUUGACCAAAUAGCAUAGGUGCACUAGCUCUGCAGAGAAUAUGAAAAAAUUCUACAUAAACUAUUUCUGUCGCACAGAUUGCUGACUGAUGUGUUACACUCGAUAAAUCCGUUAGAGAUAGAAACAAAGAGCGAGUAAUUCGAGACAUCUGAUACCAAGAGCGGCCGAAUAGUUAUUAAGAAACAUUAAUGGCUAUUUAAUAGAUAGGCGGACCAGCUUAACAGAAUUAAGUGUUAUUAGGUACACUGCAAUCUGUUACACUCCGUUCUUCUUGGCUGCAAAGGUAAUACUGUUAAAGAUGAUUUUAGUCAUUUCAAAAUGGCGGCCGGAUGGCCGAGCGGUAACGCUGUCGGCAUGCCACACAAGAAGACCCGGGUUUGCGUCCCUAGUCUGGUAAUUCCUGAAAAGUUUUUUCGGGCCCAUCACCAUCCGGCCCUCACGGGUGUGAAUGUAGCCCGUUUUUGGAACUGGCCCCGCACCCUGGUAAUCUCCCUGAUUGGAAAGGAACAUAAAAUUUGUAAAAAAAAAUUAUUUCAAA
rnacentral:lncRNA from 1 species